GCCAACUUGGUGUAGUGGUUUGAGCAUUGGACUAUGACUUUGGAGGCCAGAGUUCGAAUCCCAGAUCAGCCA